UACGUAGGGAGCAAGCGUUAUCCGGAUUUACUGGGUGUAAAGGGCGAGUAGGCGGGCUGGCAAGUUGGGAGUGAAAUCCCGGGGCUUAACCCCGGAACUGCUUUCAAAACUGCUGGUCUUGAGUGAUGGAGAGGCAGGCGGAAUUCCGUGUGUAGCGGUGAAAUGCGUAGAUAUUAGGAGGAACACCAGUGGCGGAGGCGGCUUACUGGACGGUAACUGACGCUGAGGCUCGAAAGCGUGGGGAGCAAACAGG
rnacentral:rRNA from 1 species